rnacentral:misc_RNA from 1 species
UUUUGAUUGGUCCACUGAGAUAAUGGACAGUUGAGAGGUCUGCGGUUUUUACAUCCACUGCAGAAUCAUCAUCUUUAAUACUACCUCCAGUCCAAUCUACCAUCUCUACCCUGAAAAAUUCACCAUCUUUAACCUCUGCAACAGGGGGAAUCUCAGGGUGCCAACGGUUGUGAAGAGGUAGUGUUUGCUCCCAUGGCUUCUUUUCCAAGUCUAUAGGUACUACCAGUC